AUGGCGACGGCCUUGAGUGAGGAGGAGCUGGACAAUGAAGACUAUUACUCCUUGCUGAACGUGCGCAGGGAGGCCUCUUCUGAAGAGCUGAAAGCUGCCUACCAGAGGCUGUGUAUGCUCUACCAUCCAAACAAGCACAGAGACCCAGAGCUCAAGUCACAGGCGGAACGACUGUUUAACCUUGUUCAUCAGGCUUAUGAAGUGCUUAGUGACUCCCAAACCAGGGCCAUCUAUGAUAUAUAUGGGAAAAGAGGACUGGAAAUGGAAGGAUCAGAGGUCGUGCAAAGGAGGAGAACCCCAGCUGAAAUUUGAGAGGAGUUUGAGCGGCUGCAGAGACAGAGGGAAGAGAGGAGACUGCAGCAGCGAACCAAUCCCAAGGGAACGAUCAGCGUUGGAGUAGAUGCCACUGACCUUUUUGAUCACUAUGAUGAGGAGUAUGAAGAUGUGUCCGGCAGUAGCUUUCCGCAGAUUGAAAUUAAUAAAAUGCACAUAUCCCAGUCCAUUGAGGCACCCUUGACAGCGACAGACACAGCCAUCCUCUCUGGAAGCCUCUCAACCCAGAAUGGAAAUGGAGGAGGUUCCAUUAACUUUGCGCUCAGACGAGUAACUUCGGCAAAGGGAUGGGGAGAGUUGGAAUUUGGAGCCGGAGACCUGCAGGGACCUUUAUUUGGUCUCAAGCUGUUCCGUAAUCUCAUACCAAGAUGCUUUGUGACAACAAACUGUGCUCUGCAGUUUUCAUCCCGUGGAAUCCGACCCGGUCUGACCACCGUCCUAGCUUGGAACCUAGACAAGAACACCGUGGGCUACCUGCAGUGGCGAUGGGGUAUCCAGUCAGUCAUGAGCACUAGCAUCGGCCGGGACACUAAAACCAGCCACUGUGGCCCUGCAGCUGGGAAUCCCUCACUCCUUUGCACUGAUCAACUAUCAGCACAAAUUCCAAGAUGACGAUCAGACUCGCGUGAAAGGAUCCCUCAAAGCAGGCUUCGUUGGGACGGUGGUGAAGUACGGAGCCGAGAGGAAGAUCUCCAGGCACAGCGUUUUGGGUGCAGCUGUCAGCAUUGGAGUUCCACAGGGCGUUUUUCUCAAAGUCAAGCUCAAAAGGGCCAGUCAGACAUACUUCUUCCCUAUUCACUUGACGGACCAGCUUCUGCCCAGCGCCGUCUUCCAUGCCACCGUGGUCUACUUUGCCGUGCACUGUCUGAUCAUCAAACCAUACCUCAGGGCUCAGAAAGAGAAGGAAUUGGAGAAGCAGAGGGAAAGCGUCGCCACCGACGUGCUGCAGAAGAAGCAAGAGGCAGGAGUCCGCUGUCUGGCUGACGUAGGAAUCUGUCCGAAGGAUAUUUGAGGCAGAAGAGUCCAGAAUGGGCCUCAUCAUCGUCAAUGCCUGGUACGGGAAGUUUGUCAAUGAUAAGAGCAGGAAGAGUGAGAAGGUGAAGGUGAUUGACGUGACUGUGCCCCUGCAGUGCCUGGUGAAGGACUCGAAGCUCAUCCUCACGGAGGUCUCCAAGGCUGGGCUGUCUGGCUUUUAUGACCCGUGUGUGGGGGAAGAGAAGAACCUGAAAGUGCUCUAUCAGUUCCCGGGCGUCCUGCAUCAGGUGAUGGUGCUGGACAGUGAGGCCCUCCGGAUACCAAAGCAGUCCCACAGGAUCGAUACAGAUAGGUAAAUUGCCAAGAACCAGAUUUUUAAAAGGCUGCAAAAAAUAUUUUCCUGGGAGUCUACAAA